GUGGGGAAUAUUGGACAAUGGGCGAAAGCCUGAUCCAGCAAUGCCGCGUGAGUGAUGAAGGCCUUAGGGUUGUAAAGCUCUUUUACCCGGGAAGAUAAUGACUGUACCGGGAGAAUAAGCCCCGGCUAACUCCGUGCCAGCAGCCGCGGUAAUACGGAGGGGGCUAGCGUUGUUCGGAAUUACUGGGCGUAAAGCGCACGUAGGCGGUUUUGUAAGUUAGAGGUGAAAGCCUGGGGCUCAACCCCAGAAUUGCCUUUAAGACUGCAUCACUUGAACGUCGGAGAGGUGAGUGGAAUUCCGAGUGUAGAGGUGAAAUUCGUAGAUAUUCGGAGGAACACCAGUGGCGAAGGCGGCUCACUGGCUCGAUACUGACGCUGAGGUGCGAAAGCGUGGGGAGCGAACGGGAUUAGAAACCCGUGUAGUCC
rnacentral:rRNA from 1 species